rnacentral:tRNA from 1 species
AAACUUAUUUAGUAUAAAGUAUACUUGACUUCCAAUCAAGAGGUCUGAAUAUAUUUCAGAAUAA